UCUAUUUUCUCUUGAAAGAUGGAAGGCUCUGUACUACUCAUAAUCUCUGGGUCACAGUGGAUAGAAGCUGAUGGUAGCCCACAUUACCUAAAUUUGUGGUCUUUAUUUAAUGUUUCCUUCACUUUUUGAUAUUCCUGCCUGACUUCUGAAGCAGAAAAGUUCAGAAGGACUGGGCUAGUUUUCGAAACCACAGCACACUUUGGCAAAGAGGGAAUGUACAGCAGAACGGAUGACGAAACGGAGGCACGGAGAGAUGAAGCAGCUUGCCUUUGAUUACC